AUUGUAUCCACGAUUGGGGAAUUUUCCGCAAUGGGCGAAAGCCUGACGGAGCAAUACCGCGUGAGGGAGGAAGGCUCUUGGGUUGUAAACCUCUUUUCUCAGGGAAGAACACAAUGACGGUACCUGAGGAAUCAGCAUCGGCUAACCCCGUGCCAGCAGCCGCGGUAAUACGGAGGAUGCAAGCGUUAUCCGGAAUGAUUGGGCGUAAAGCGUCCGCAGGUGGCUUAUCAAGUCGAUUGUCAAAGGUCCUGGCUCAACUGGGAACAGGCAGUGGAAACUGAAAAGCUAGAGUGCGGUAGGGGUAGAGGGAAUUCCCGGUGUAGCGGUGAAAUGCGUAGAGAUCGGGAAGAACACCAGUGGCGAAAGCGCUCUACUAGGCCUGCACUGACACUCAUGGACGAAAGCUAGGGGAGCGAAUGGGAUUAGAUACCCCAGUAGUCAAUCGUGGAUACAAU
rnacentral:rRNA from 1 species